rnacentral:lncRNA from 13 species
ACACGUCUAAAGCAUCCUGGUUCUUACCUAUUGUAGCACAGCGGGAAAGCGAGCCGCCUUAGCUGCUGAUCGCACUGGAGCAGGCAAUACAAGAGUCGGCCCAUCCUUUACACCACUGGGCAAUAACUGCCCUCCACAUGGAUGAGGAGGGAAGGAGGUCGGAGACCAAAGGCAAGAAGAGGCAGAAGCUGUAAGGCUCUUCAGGAGGGGCAGAGGAUCAGGCUCAGAGGCUAACCAGCCAAGAGUGAUGCUUGAGUUAUACCACUAAACUCUGCCGGGGGAAUGCUAUUGCUAUGGCUACUGUGCUGGCAUCUCUGCCCACAUUCCUAACACUGAACAUGGGAUGCUACAGCCUGGAGGUGCCGCAGCCACCUUGACAGCGGAAUGUCUGUCUCCCAGCAUCCUUGAUAAAAGGAAUUCUGCAUAGCACAUCCUUUUUUAUGGUAUUUAUUUCUGAAUUGAAACUUUAC